GAUGAACGCUGGCGGCGUGCCUAAUACAUGCAAGUCGAGCGAACGGACGAGAAGCUUGCUUCUCUGAUGUUAGCGGCGGACGGGUGAGUAACACGUGGAUAACCUACCUAUAAGACUGGGAUAACUUCGGGAAACCGGAGCUAAUACCGGAUAAUAUUUUGAACCGCAUGGUUCAAAAGUGAAAGACGGUCUUGCUGUCACUUAUAGAUGGAUCCGCGCUGCAUUAGCUAGUUGGUAAGGUAACGGCUUACCAAGGCAACGAUGCAUAGCCGACCUGAGAGGGGGAUGGGCCACAGUGGAGGUGAGAGGCGGUCCAGAGUCCUACGGGAGGCAGCGGUAGGGAAGGGUGCGCGAUGGGGGGAAGCGUGACGGAGCGGCGCCGGGGGGGUGAUGAAGGUCUGCGGGUCGUAAAACUGUGUUAGGGGGGAAGAACGUAUGUGUAAGUGACUGUGCGCGUGUGGAGGGUACGUAGUCAGAAGGCCACGGCUAACUACGU
rnacentral:rRNA from 1 species